rnacentral:rRNA from 1 species
AGUUUGAUCCUGGCUCAGGAUGAACGCUGGCGGCGUGCCUAAUACAUCCAAGUCGAGCGAAUGGAUUGAGAGCUUGCUCUCAAGAAGUUAGCGGCGGACGGGUGAGUAACACGUGGGUAACCUGCCCAUUAGACUGGGAUAACUCCGGGAAACCGGGGCUAAUACCGGAUAACAUUUUGAACUGCAUGGUUCGAAAUUGAAAGGCGGCUUCGGCUGUCACUUAUGGAUGGACCCGCGUCGCAUUAGCUAGUUGGUGAGGUAACGGCUCACCAAGGCAACGAUGCGUAGCCGACCUGAGAGGGUGAUCGGCCACACUGGGACUGAGACACGGCCCAGACUCCUACGGGAGGCAGCAGUAGGGAAUCUUCCGCAAUGGGCGAAAGUCUGACGGAGCAACGCCGCGUGAGUGAUGAAGGCUUUCGGGUUGUAAAACUCUGUUGUUAGGGAAGAACAAGUUCUAGUUGAAUAAGCUGGCACCUUGACGGUACCUAACCAGAAAGCCACGGCUAACUACGUGCCAGCAGCCGCGGUAAUACGUAGGUGGCAAGCGUUAUCCGGAAUUAUUGGGCGUAAAGCGCGCGCAGGUGGUUUCUUAAGUCUGAUGUGAAAGCCCCCGGCUCAACCGUGGAGGGUCAUUGGAAACUGGGAGACUUGAGUGCAGAAGAGGAAAGUGGAAUUCCCAUGUGUAGCGGUGAAAUGCGUAGAUUUUAUGGAGGAACACCCAGUGGCGAAGGGCAGACUUUCUGGUCUGUAACUGACACUGAGGCGCGAAAGCUGG